rnacentral:ncRNA from 14 species
CUUAGUUCAGCUGGUAGAACGCAGGUUUCCAAAACCUGAUGUCGUGGGUUCAAGUCCUACAG